UCUUGGACAAUGAAACCUGUGGAUAUUUUGAAGAGGAGAUUUCAACAAGUGACCUGCUUGCUUGGUUAUACCAGGUUCCUUAGGGAAGUUAAAAAAAAAAAGUUCCUAUUCCUGAUGAAUACCAAAACACCAGCCAGGAGAUUGAACUCACAGGGACGGUGAAUGUAGACCAGAAAGACUGCGCUGGAGGUCACUCAGAAGGGUGCACUGGGGGAACACUCACCCAAUGGUGAGUAUCUGGAGAGCGUAUAAGCGCAUGCCGCUGUGGACUUUUCAGCGAUGUCAUGCUGACAAACUGACUCAGCAGGAGUUACCCACACAGGAAACGGACAUCCAUCUUCACUGCAGACCCAGAAGACGUGACGGGAGACCAGGAAACGUCUGCCUCGCUGACUUACUAUAUUCCCUUGGAUGUACUGAUCAGGCUACAUUCCGCCAAGUCAAAAACGUUGAGAGAAAAAAAUGUCUAAUAAUUUCCUCUGAUAAUCACCAAAAAUCACAGCUUCUAAACGUAA